AACGUAGGUGGCGAGCGUUAUCCGGAUUUACUGGGCGUAAAGGGUGUGCAGGCGGGGGGCCAAGUGGUGUAUGAAAUCGCUCAGCUUAACUGGGCUAGGUUAUGCCAGACUGGACUUCUAGAGUGCGAUAGAGGGACGUGGAAUUCCGGGUGUAGUGGUGAAAUGCGUAGAGAUCCGGAGGAACCCCAGAGGCGAAGGCGGCGUCCUGGCUCGCAACUGACGCUCAGACACGACAGCAUGGGGAGCGAACGGG
rnacentral:rRNA from 1 species